rnacentral:lncRNA from 1 species
CGAAAAACAGUAGGGCUUUUGGAAAGUGGUCAUUCUGAGAACAAUGACACAGGCGUGCGCGUGCAUGUGAAGACUUCUAUUUUCAGUGUUUGAACGAAAACAAGGUCUCCCGGUCGGAAUAUUAUCGCUAUUUUACUAGAAAAAUCGCAUAAAAAUUGAUUUUAAACAGCGUUUGACAUGCUUUGAAGUACGGUAAUGGAAUAUUUUGAAAUUUUUUGUCACGAUAUGCGCCGGCGCGUCACCCUUCGGAUAGUGUCUUGAACGCAAGAACAAAACGCAGCUAUUUGGAUAUAACUAUGGAUUAUUUGGAACCAAAACAACAUUGAGUGUUGAAGUAGAAGUCCUGGGAGUGCAUUCUGACGAAGAACAGCAAAGCAAUACCUGGCUCUACCAAUUCUACCACGGUGAAUCUCCAGGGCUGUACAACUUCCACCGUGUGCAACGCUAUUGAUCAACUGCUGCCCUUAGGGAAGACCAUGAGUGACAUCACCACUGUGAAUUUUACCUGUAAGACAGCCCUUAACACAGCCUGGUCCAUCACACUGAGCCUUGUCCCUCUGCUACUGGGCCUCACCAUCAGCAAAUUAAUCUGAUAUAAACAGAGAUGAACAUAUUGGGACUCAUCUGACAACAUAAUGCAUUGAUUAGAAAAAAGAAAAUGUACAAUGAUUUUCAUGUAUUGUGAAAGAUGUACUUCAAGUGAAAUGAUGCUAUAUGGAAUUUGCCAGAUGAUGCCCUGUUACAUUAUAUAGUGUUCUUGUUUGAUGGAAUAGUUUCCUAUAUACUGUAUUACUCUGCACACUGAGUGAAUAAAACAUUAAGAACACCUUCUCUUUCCACAACAGACUGACCAGGUGAAUCCAGGUGAAAGCUAUGAUCCCUUAUUGAUGUCACUUGUUAAAUCCACGUCAAUCAGUGUAGAUUAAGGGGAGGAUACAGAAG